rnacentral:tRNA from 1 species
AAAGAGAAUGUUGUAUCUAAAAGGAGCUGCUAACUACCUUUUAAAGCGGUUAAAUCCCGUUUUUC